AUUCGCUCUUGGUACAGCUAAAACUGAUAGAGCUACUGCAGAAUCUGAUCUUGAAACUGCUGCUGCUGGACUGAUAAGAUCUCUGCUACCCUCUCAGCAAGCUAUCCCAUAUCAACAUCCCCUAAGCUAAAAGUAGGUAUGGUGCGACUAGAUGAGGGGACUCUGACUGAGGAUCCUGCCUCAGGCUCUGAAACAUAGUGAUCAGCUGAACUCAGCCUGGGCAAGGGAGAAGAUGGACCCUCCCCCUCAGCAUGCUUCUCCUCCUCAUCACUCUCCUCCUCAACAGCUGCAGCUCGACCCUUGGCCCAUCGGCCAUCAACUCUCACAAAACCCAUGCACCUA
rnacentral:lncRNA from 1 species